rnacentral:rRNA from 1 species
AUGGUCGGGGCAGGGCGUUCCACCCCCACUGACGCCCCCGCCAAGCCGAAGCGUCCGUGCCAUGCACAUGGCGACGGCGGCGGCGAUGCCGAUGGCAGCAGCGGCGGAGAGGCCGACAGCGACCGUCUGAGCGCCCUGCCGGACGAGCUCCUCCACGACAUCCUGUCGCGCCUCAAUGCCCUGGAGACGGCCGGUACGUGCGUGCUGUCCGCGAGGUGGCGGAACCUCUGGCGCGCCGUGCCGUGCCUCGACAUCGACGAGCGGGAGCUCACCGCCAAGCAGCCUUUUUUCGUCAACUUUACCGGCAACCUUCUCCGCGGACAUGAGGUCGCUCUCCUGGAGGACCUGAGGGUGUACCUGCGCUGCUGCAUCCUCGGGUGGUCCGCCCCUUGGGUUCGCCGCGCCAUAGGUCUGGGCGAGGCAUCGCCUUGCCGGCUCAAAAGGUUGCAUCUUUCCCACGUGUCAUCUCUGCAGCCGACAGAGCUCGCUAGCCAUGUCAGCUCCCGCUGCCCUGCUCUCGAGGACUUGAAACUGCAAGAGUGCGGCUUCUUGGCCACCGGCUACAUCAGGAUCGUCUCCUCCUCGCUCAAGAAAUUGGUCCUGGACGGCAACUAUGAUGAGGACGGCGCCGAUGAGUUUUUCGUCUUCAUUAUAGAUGCUCCUGCUCUUGUCUCUCUUCGCUUGGGCACCUCCUAUGAUGUUGAUUCCAUUGUUGCUCCUAACGAACCACAUACCAUGCCGUCUCUUGUUGAUGCAUCCAUUCAGCUAUCCAUUGGCUGCGACCUCGCCACAACCGCGUACGAAUCUGGUCUUCUUGCCGCUCUCUACAAUGUCACAAGCCUGCACUUGUUACAUUUUGGGGUCACUUUGUUGUGCCGUCAGGAUUAUUUGGAGUUCCCUGUAUUGAAGAACCUGAGGACCUUGUCUCUGGACGAGUGUCAUAUUUCCAACGACUUUAUGGGUCUGGAGCCUUACCUGCGCAAGUCGCGAAACCUGGAGAAGCUCACUUUGCGUCGUUGCAAGGUGUUGGAUUCUAGAUCUAAGAAGAAGAUGGGGGGACACCUUGAUGACCCUUCCGAUGACCUGGUGGAUUUCAAGUGCGAGAACCUUAAGCUUAGUGAAAUCAUAUACCAAGAUGGUGAUACUUCUAUCCACCUAUUGGUCAAGUUUCUGGAGGCCAUGUGGAGGAAUCUGCCAAACAACAAGAUCGAACUCACUAAAGUCAAUUAG